AUUUUAGUAGCUUAUAUUUAGAGCAUAACACUGAAGAUGUUAACGAAGGAUUUAUCCUCUAAAAUA
rnacentral:tRNA from 1 species